AUUGAACGCUGGCGGCAUGCCUUACACAUGCAAGUCGAACGGCAGCACGGGUGCUUGCCCCUGGUGGCGAGUGGCGAACGGGUGAGUAAUACAUCGGAACAUGUCCUGUAGUGGGGGAUAGCCCGGCGAAAGCCGGAUUAAUACCGCAUACGAUCUACGGAUGAAAGCGGGGGACCUUCGGGCCUCGCGCUAUAGGGUUGGCCGAUGGCUGAUUAGCUAGUUGGUGGGGUAAAGGCCUACCAAGGCGACGAUCAGUAGCUGGUCUGAGAGGACGACCAGCCACACUGGGACUGAGACACGGCCCAGACUCCUACGGGAGGCAGCAGUGGGGAAUUUUGGACAAUGGGCGAAAGCCUGAUCCAGCAAAGCCGCGUGUGUGAAGAAGGCCUUCGGGUUGUAAAGCACUUUUGUCCGGAAAGAAAUCCUUGGCCCUAAUACGGUCGGGGGAUGACGGUACCGGAAGAAUAAGCACCGGCUAACUACGUG
rnacentral:rRNA from 1 species